AGGAAGAGAGGAAGGAAGGAAGGAAAGUACUCUUCCAGAUACAUAAGAAGCAUUUUAAUUGUUUUCUGAAGAUUGCCCAAGAAGUCACACAUUUCUCAUCAAUCAACAACUGUAGGAAAGGCCAUGUGUGGACACAGCAAGAAGGCGGCCAUUUGCAAGUCAGGAAGAAACCCCUCACCAGAACUUGACCAUGACGUCAC